rnacentral:rRNA from 1 species
CAGUCGCCGCGGUAACACGGAGGAUCCAAGCGUUAUCCGGAUUUAUUGGGUUUAAAGGGUGCGUAGGCGGCUUGUUAAGUCAGGGGUGAAAGGCGGUAGCUUAACUAUCGGAGUGCCCUUGAUACUGACGAGCUUGAAUGCAGCUGAGGUAGGCGGAAUGUGACAAGUAGCGGUGAAAUGCAUAGAUAUGUCACAGAACACCGAUUGCGAAGGCAGCUUACUAAAGUGCGAUUGACGCUGAGGCACGAAAGCGUGGGGAUCAAACAGGAUUAGAUACCCCAGUAGUCCCUGUCUCUUAUAA